AUGCUACUCCGCGCCGCCGGGAGGCUCUCACCGGCGGUGUUCUGCUUCAGCCACCUGCACGAGCUAGAGAACCCGUACGUCGACGUGGAUCUGUCUAGCUGCUUCGGCCGCGCCACCUCCAUCGAGCUGGACGCAGAGUUCAUCUGUUUCCCUGAGCCGCGGUCUGAGUUACCGAAAAAGGAGAGUCUUUCGCUCUCGGGCUGCCUUGUCCGUCUCGCCGUCGUGGUCCCCCUCUGCCCGCGCCUGCGCAUGCUCAGGGUGCCUCGAGCUUUCUACCAAGGCAACAUCAUCACCGUCCGCUCGGCGUCGCUGCAGGAGCUCAUCGUGGAGAACGAGGUCGCCGGCGCAUCAACGAGACGUGUCGACGUGGAGGCCCCCACGCUCAAGCAAUUGACUGUAUUCUUCCGCAACAAUGGCGACCUCAGCGUCUCUGUCUUGGUCCCAUCUGUGGAGAAAGUCUCGUGGCAGUGCAUGUAUUCCGGCACGAGGGUUGGGCUUGGUGUUUGGGGCCUCAUGGCAGCAAGAUUAGUGAGGGAGAAGAGCAAUGGACGACAGGGGGUUCUCCCUCCCGCCCAUGUCAUGUUCCUACACAUGGUUGCCAUGAUGAGCUCCGCUUUAGGACGGAGAUAG
rnacentral:rRNA from 1 species